rnacentral:rRNA from 1 species
CUGCUCAAUGAUUUUUUAAAUUGCUGUGGUAUUUUGACUAUACGAAGGUAUUGAAAUAAGGCUUUAAAUGAGUGCUAAGAGAAUGGUUUAACGAUUAAUAACUUUCUUUAAUUAAUAAAUUGAAUUUAAUUUUUUUGUGAAGAAGCAAUAAUUUAAAUUAGGGACAAGAAGACCCUAUGAAUUUUGAUUAGAUUGAGUAAGUAUUUAUUUCAAUUUAAUUUGGUUGGGGUGAUUAAAAAAGAAUAUAUAUCUUUUUGUGUAGAAAUAAAUUAAUUUGUUCCGUUAUUUACGAUUAAAUGAGAAAAAUACUCUAGGGAUAACAGCGUAAUAAUUUUGGAUAGUUCAUAUAGAUAAAAUAGUUUGCGACCUCGAUGUUGGAUUAGGAUUCUUUUUUAGUGAAGAAGUUAAAAAAAGAAGUUUGUUCAACUUUUAAAUUCCUACUUGAUCAAAAAAAGAAGUUUGUUCAACUUUUAAAUUCCUACUUGAUCUGAGUUCAGACCGG